AACAGUCAGGAGGUUGGCUUAGAAGCAGCCACCCUUUAAAGAAAGCGUAAUAGCUCACUGAUCGAGUCGUCCUGCGCGGAAGAUGUAACGGGGCUAAGCUAUAUACCGAAGCUGCGGAUGCGAGCUUUGCUCGCAUGGUAGGAGAGCGUUCCGUAAGCCUGCGAAGGUGCCUUGUAAAGGGUGCUGGAGGUAUCGGAAGUGCGAAUGCUGACAUGAGUAGCGAUAAAGGGGGUGAAAGGCCCCCUCGCCGUAAGCCCAAGGUUUCCUACGCAACGUUCAUCGGCGUAGGGUGAGUCGGCCCCUAAGGCGAGGCAGAAAUGCGUAGCUGAUGGGAAGCAGGUCAAUAUUCCUGCACCAUUGUUAGAUGCGAUGGGGGGACGGAUCGCGGAAGGUUGUCCGGGUGUUGGAAGUCCCGGUCGCUGCAUUGGAGAAGGCGCUUAGGCAAAUCCGGGCGCGUAAUUCAAGGGUGUGGCGCGAGCUCCUUAGGGAGCGAAGCAAUUGGAAGUGGUUCCAAGAAAAGCCUCUAAGCUUCAGUCUAACGAUGACCGUACCGCAAACCGACACAGGUGGGCGAGAUGAGUAUUCUAAGGCGCUUGAGAGAACUCGGGAG
rnacentral:rRNA from 1 species